rnacentral:rRNA from 1 species
UACGGAGGGGGCGAGCGUUGUCCGAAUUUAUUGGGCGUAAAGCGCGUGUAGGCGGACCUUAAAGCCUGAGGUGAAAGGUUGGGGCUCAACCCCAUACAGUGCCUUGGGGACUUAGGGUCUGGAGGCAGGCAGAGGAGUGUGGAAUUCCUGGUGUAGCGGUGGAAUGCGUAGAGAUCAGGAAGAACACCCAUGGCGAAGGCAGCACUCGUGGGCCGAUACUGACGCUGAGGAGCGAAAGCGUGGGGAGCGAACAGG